AGUGAACGCUGGCGGUAGGCCUAACACAUGCAAGUCGAACGGCAGCACAGUAAGAGCUUGCUCUUACGGGUGGCGAGUGGCGGACGGGUGAGGAAUACAUCGGAAUCUACUUUUUCGUGGGGGAUAACGUAGGGAAACUUACGCUAAUACAGCAUACGACCUACGGGUGAAAGCAGGGGAUCUUCGGACCUUGCGCGAUUGAAUGAGCCGAUGUCGGAUUAGCUAGUUGGCGGGGUAAAGGCCCACCAAGGCGACGAUCCGUAGCUGGUCUGAGAGGAUGAUCAGCCACACUGGAACUGAGACACGGUCCAGACUCCUACGGGAGGCAGCAGUGGGGAAUAUUGGACAAUGGGCGCAAGCCUGAUCCAGCCAUACCGCGUGGGUGAAGAAGGCCUUCGGGUUGUAAAGCCCUUUUGUUGGGAAAGAAAAGCAGCAUGUUAAUACCCCGCUGUUCUGACGGUACCCAAAGAAUAAGCACCGGCUAACUUCGUG
rnacentral:rRNA from 1 species